UUCAAAAACAAAAGAAAAAAAGUAUUUAAAAAAUUAUAAUAAAAAAUCUAUUAAAAAAUAUUCAGGGGUGUUGUGGCAUCCAAGACAGAUUUGCCGAAUGUCAGAAUGGCAAACCAAUUCUGAUUGUCAUUGGUGUCACAGAAUCUGAUUGGAUUUUCGUCUUUUCGAAUAUAAGCAAACCAAUAUUCGAAUCAGCUGUUCUGCUAUUUAUUCAUGGUGAAAAAUUAGCAAGACAUGUUUUUGGAAUUGUAAUCAUAUAAUUAGUUCAAAAUAUUCAUUAAACCCAAAAAAUAUAAUUAAAAUGAGAAAUUAAUUCAGUUUUUAUUUUAUUUGGCAAUGAAAGUAGCGCGAAAAAAAUCAAAGUUUUAAGGAAUCACAGUAGCGCUUUAUGCUCAAAGGAAGUCAAAAAUACGUUUUAACGGCAAAUCAAAAUAAAUCUGAACAAAAUGUCUCAAAUCUGUCAGCCCUGAAGCUCUUGGUUUGAUUCUGAUACGUUAAACCGAUAAAUUUGGUUUCCAUGACACCUAAAACCAAUAGAAUUUCUGAUUCGAACAUCAAACCAAUAAUAUCAGAAUUCAUGACACGAUCCAGAAUUUUUUGUCGGUUUGAAUUCUGAUUCCGACAACUGUCAGAUUCCACAACAACCCUGAAUACGAAAUGAAAAACAUAAUUUUUAUAUAUGUAUUAAAAAUAAUAAAAAAAAAAUAAUUUAAAAAAUAAUAAAAAAAAUAAUUUAAAAAAUAAAAAAAAUAUUAUAAAAAUAUAAAAAAGAUUAUUUAAAAAAUAUUGAAAAAAAAAAUAAAUUAAAAUGUAUACAAGAAAAAAAUAUAAAAUUAAAUUUAAAAAAUUAAACGUUAAAAAUAUUCAAUAUAAACAAAAGUAAAACAAAAAAAAACAAUGGUAAAUAAAAAGCAUUAAAAUUUAUUUAGAUUAGAAUUAGUAGGAAAAUAAAAUGAUCAGCAUACAAUAAAAACCGAAAUUGUAAUUUCUAUGUUUUUUAACUGAACAAAUUGGUGAAUUAAGCAACUGAACGAUGAAAAAACAAUAUUUAAUUUUAUGUCGCGUGUUCUGAUUGCAUGAGACCCGCACAAACAGUGAAAAUCCAAAACCAUUUUGUUAUAUAUAUUUCCUUCUAAAUGAUUUAUUCGAUGCAUGUGUGUAAAUACAAAUGUAAUUCUAGAAUAUAUAUUUUGUGCCAGUUCAACCCAAUAUUUGACACAGUAACCAUAAUAAAAUUCUCAUAUGUGCAAUGUUAACUUAAAUGAUUAAUAAACAAUUAUAUUUAGAGAUGGAAUAAUGGCGAAAUUUGUUUAAAAAAUAACAUCAUAUGUAUUCAUACAAACUUUAAUCAGACUUACAAAUGUGUUUAAAUGAAAAUUAAAUAAAACAUCUGAAUAAAAUUGAUACGUUAAAGAUGAAUAAAAAAUGUAAAUCAUAUUGAUUGGUGAAAGCAUGCAUAACAUGAUGGCGUUAAACCACAGAUGUGUGUGUGUGUUUAUAGGUGGGAAUUUGGUAAGCAAAGGGGCAUAAAAACUUAAUUACAAAUAAUGGCGCGAUGCGUGUGACAACACAAGCAGUUUGCAGAAAUCAUUGGGAAUAUUGUGCAUUCCUUGUGUACGCAUGUAUUACUAUGUAUUUAAAAGCAAAACAAAAACCGACGAUUAUAUUAUGCAAAGCAUAGCAAUGCCCGGCACAAAAAAUAUGCAAUAGACAAUAAAGUAAACAUACAAACACAUUACGCAAUGAUUCUGCUGACCACCAAGAGUUUGCAUACACGCACACAUCACCACGCACCUUACGCUAAAGCUACUAGAACGUAUAACCACCCUCGGGUGUUUUCGAUUGGCCCGCAUUAAAUUCGAGCGCACCAUUAACCUCUUGUGGCGCCAACUCAGCUUCAGCAUCCUCGCCACUAUUGAAGUACGUAUCCACCAGUGCGAAGGCCUUCUUGUAUAUUUCCUCGUUUUCAUGCUCCUGCAAUUUCUCCAGUUUAUCCAAGCCACCCAUCUCUUCGACCAUCAAGCAAAGAUUCUCUGUGCCGCCCAACUUUUCGGCCAAAACAAACAAGUUGCCGAGUCCCAUGAGCACAACCUUAAUGGUGCGCGGAUCCUUUGCGUCGAGUAAAUCACAGAAUGGCUUCAAUAUUUGAUAUUUUUCAAUCAGAUCGAUUAUUUGUUCAGGUGUGCCACUCGUUGUGGUAUUUGUAACGGCCCAAGCGGCUUCUUUCUGCGAUUUGAAAUCGCCCUUCUCCAAAACGAGACGAAUUGGUG